AACAGGAUUAGAUACCCUGGUAGUCCACGCCGUAAACGAUGUCGACUUGGAGGUUGUGCCCUUGAGGCGUGGCUUCCGGAGCUAACGCGUUAAGUCGACCGCCUGGGGAGUACGGCCGCAAGGUUAAAACUCAAAUGAAUUGACGGGGGCCCGCACAAGCGGUGGAGCAUGUGGUUUAAUUCGAUGCAACGCGAAGAACCUUACCUGGCCUUGACAUCCACGGAAUUUGGCAGAGAUGCCUUAGUGCCUUCGGGAACCGUGAGACAGGUGCUGCAUGGCUGUCGUCAGCUCGUGUUGUGAAAUGUUGGGUUAAGUCCCGCAACGAGCGCAACCCUUAUCCUUUGUUGCCAGCACGUAAUGGUGGGAACUCAAAGGAGACUGCCGGUGAUAAACCGGAGGAAGGUGGGGAUGACGUCAAGUCAUCAUGGCCCUUACGGCCAGGGCUACACACGUGCUACAAUGGCGCAUACAAAGAGAAGCGACCUCGCGAGAGCAAGCGGACCUCAUAAAGUGCGUCGUAGUCCGGAUCGGGGUCUGCAACUCGACUCCGUGAAGUCGGAAUCGCUAGUAAUCGUAGAUCAGAAUGCUACGGUGAAUACGUUCCCGGGCCUUGUACACACCGCCCGUCACACCAUGGGAGUGGGUUGCAAAAGAAGUAGGUAGCUUAACCUUCGGGAGGGCGCUUACCACUUUGUGAUUCAUGACUGGGGUGAAGUCGUAACAAGGUAACC
rnacentral:rRNA from 1 species